UGAGGAAUAUUGGUCAAUGGGCGGAAGCCUGAACCAGCCAUGCCGCGUGCAGGAAGACGGCCCUACGGGUUGUAAACUGCUUUUCUGCGGGAAGAACGGCCCCUACGUGUGGGGGUGUGACGGUACCGCAGGAAUAAGGAUCGGCUAACUCCGUGCCAGCAGCCGCGGUAAUACGGAGGAUCCGAGCGUUAUCCGGAUUUACUGGGUUUAAAGGGUGCGUAGGCGGCUCCCUCAGUCAGCGGUGAAAUGUGUCGGCUCAACCGACAACCUGCCGUUGAUACUGGGGAGCUUGAGUGGGGUUGAGGCAGGCGGAAUGGGCGGUGUAGCGGUGAAAUGAAUAGAUAUCGCACAGAACGCCGAUUGCGUAGGCAGCUUGCCAAGCCCACACCGACGCUGAGGCACGAAAGCGUGGGGAUCAAACA
rnacentral:rRNA from 1 species